UAAAUCUUAUACCCGAAUUCAUAAUCUAUUCAUAUCAAAUAUUAACAUUAUGAUUUAAUUACAAAUAAAAAUACUAGUUGCAAACACACAAAAAAACUAAAUUAAAAUGUGUCUGAAUAUUUUUUUUUGUCAAACUGUCUAAAUAUCAUAAACACAAUAAGAAAUGAGACAUUUCUAUGUGUUGUCGUGUACUCACUCCCAUGUGUUUUCCCAUUGGCUGAUAAGAAAAUGCAAAAAAGAAGGUAAAUAUAUGAUUGGUCGAUAAAGAAAGACUUGGAUUGACUGAAACUACUCUCAACCGUUGAUUGUAACAUCCAUCUAAUGAACACAAUCAUUUGUGUUUCUUUCUUCUUCCUUUUUUUCUCCUUUCCUCUCUCCUUCCUCUGAUUUUUCUUCUUUCAUUCUACUCAUUCUCUGUAACAAUCGACUCAUGGCUUCACCUUCUCUUCGGUUUUACCUACUCACCAUAACCACCGCCCACCAGGCCACCUCUCUUCGUCUUCCUAUUCUCAGCUUUCACCUCCGCUAUUUCUAAUUGAUUUGUUUUGUUUUGUUUAUAGAUCUGAGGAGCAGUGAUGAAACUUCAAGGAGAAGGUGGGUGACGGAGCAGACAGUGAAGAAGACGAUGGUGAAGACGACAGUAUGACGAAGCAGAAACUUGACGGUGGUGGAUAAGAGAUCUUGACAGUGAAGAAGACGACGGUUAAGACAAUGGUGUCACGGAGAAGACGCUUGACAGCUGUGGUUUAAGAGAUCUUGACGGUGAAGAAGACGACGCAGGGGAAGCUCCACAGCUUUUUAGGCGGAGGAAGGCAGUGGUUGAACUUGACGGCAUAUAUACAUAUAUGGAUGUAUUUAUGUAUUUAUUUAUGCAUAAAUUUUUGUAAUAUAUACUUUGUUUUUUAAAUUAUAAAUAAUUAGUUUAAUAAUUUUGUUUUGUUUUUUAUUUUGUUAUAGCUACUGUUAAAUAGGGGUGAAAUCGUGGCUAUGUGUAGCUACCACUAAUUUGUGGCUAAACCGUUGCUAAAAUAGCCACGAAAAUACAGUAGCAAAACCGUGGCUGUUAGCCACGAAUAGCCAUGAUAUUUUUUUUAGCCACAAGGUUAUGACCACGGUUUUUUUUUCAUUCAGAAGCGUAGCUAUUUUUUGUAUAGCCACGAUUUUUAGCUUUAUAACCCCGAUAAUGUAAUGGCUAUGCAACAGAUUUUUACUAGUGAAUAUGCUCGUGCUCAGAAUUCAAAAAUUUUCCCUGUAAACUCUCUUAUUCCAGUAUGGUUAGCUCCCAAAGCUAACCUGUUUGAAUCAUCUUAAUAAAAACAUGGAGUUUGCCGUAAAAAAGAAAGAAAAAUAAUUAAAAGCAAACUAGUUUUAGGAGGAAUUAAGAUUUACAGGAAAAGUAUUAAAAGAAAGGAAAAGCCUGAUUCUGUUUUUGGUAUUAGGUAAACUAUUAUUAAAUGGGAAAAUUGGAUUCAGAAGCAAGGGUCAGCGCCAAAUGCGCUCAAGAUUCUUUGGGAAAUGUGAUAGUUUUAACCUCUUAUAUCAAAUAAUCAAAUUCGAUUAAUAGUAUUAAUAAUUAACAAUACAUAUCAGUACUAAUCGAAUAAUUCACUUUUGAUCUGCUUGGAUGUAUCGAAAAUGGCGUGUGUAAUAUCCGGUCAACAGUUCCCCCCUCUCUCUCUAUCUAGCAUUUGUUCUUUAUUCCAUAUUCCAUGUGUUUGUCUUCUCUUAGCUCGAGCUCCUCUUACAUUUUAAUUUGUUGUUUUUCUUUUGUUGCAAUUAUAUUAAAGAACUUGGGUUAAUUAGUGCAUUGGAGAAAUGUACGGUGUCUGCAAUACGCAACUGGUAUUUUAUUUGGUAACUUCUUUAAAUGCUUUAUUUGCUUACCAAGUUGUGUAGGAUUUUCUUUUUUUUAAACGUUGUGUAGGAUUUUCUUGAAGUCAACUAAAUAUCACCAUGAAAAUUUAAACAGAUAUCAUGUGCUAUGCUGCAUCUCUUAGAAAAUUAAUUUAUUAAAUAUCGGUUAAAGAACUUGUUAAAGAUUGAUGGUUCUUGGCCAUUUCAGUUUUUUUUUGGGUUCCGAUUCGUGCAUUUUACAUUAUAGUCUAGUAAUACUGGUUUAGCUAUUUCUUGGCAUUAGUCAAAAUGCAUUCUAAACUCUCGUUAGAUAGUGUGAUAAUCAGUCAAUUCUAUAAUAUCAAAUGCAUUAACGUUCUUCAUAAGAUCGUCUGAAUCAGCCGAUAUUGUAUAUUAGAAAAGAGUUUAAACAAACAUAACCUAUAAAGUGGAUUAUUCACAUGUAUGAGUUUUUAUAUAUAAUUACAGUUCAAACAAAUUACAUUCAUAUUUAAAACAAGCCAAUAAUAAUUAUAAUAAAUAUUCAUAUCUUGGAUUUUUGGCCCAAAUCUUGGCCCAAAUAUAGUAGUUUUGUAAAAUUCAUUGUUAUUAAUUUUAAAUCAGUGCCUGUUUCACUUGAAAAUAAUUUAAAUAUUUGUGGAAAAAAAUAUUAUAGGAUAUUAGCUUGAAGAAAUAUUCGCAAUCCAGUUUUUAGAAUGUGAUGGUAUAGAUACACCAACAUAAUUUCUUCUAAUCAUGACGAUGAUGAUGAUGAUGAUCACGGUUGUCAUCAAUUAACUGUUCAUAAAUCCCCCUGAAAUUCAACUUUUUCUACGAAUAUUUUUGGGGUUAAAGUGUUCAACGUUAUUUGUAUUAAAUAAUUAAAAAAACAAAAGAGUGGACCACACAGAGAAAGGUACAGUUUCAUGAAAAUGGAAAUAACAAAACUAAAAUGCUUCCGUCUUAACAUUCCUUGUUUUUUGACUCUUUCAUUCUAAAACUGCCUUUUCUGGUCAUUUUCUUGUCAGCUCCUACAUAAGAAUAAACUAUAUUCUGUUUACUCACCAAAAGAUGUCUUUAUCUCAAAGUCGUAAUUACCCAUCUUAUUUUCAUUAUAGACAGCAUUGAUGAGAUUGGUUUGGUUUGUGACGUAUUAUGUUUCUAUGGCCGUGUUCCAGUUUUCAGAGGCAUCUAUAUUGUUAUGUGGACUCGCGAUAAUGAUAUAUUGAAAAACUUUCAAACACUAGAAUUUUAUAUAUAUAUAUAUAUAUAUAUAUAUAUAUUUUUGAAUUUUAUUGGUAUUGGGAUAAAUGUUCAUUACGUCAGCAAUUGAAAUGUGUCGGACAACUUUUUGUGCACCAUGCAAGUAUAAAAGACAGAAGAUCCGAAUAGUGUAAGUUGCUAUGUAUUUAAUUUUUGGAGUGACGUUAUAAAAAAAAAUUAAUUUUUGGAAUGUGGGGAGUCUAAUGAUUUUAGAGUAGAGACUGUAACAUUUAAAUGUGCAGUUUUUAAGUCUACACCAGAUGACCCAAACCAAACCAACCAGAUUUGAGUUGGAAGAUACAAAAUACUUAUAAAAUAUUUGAAUAGUUCGUAACUCAAAAUAUUUUGGAUAUUCGGAUCAAACCCAAAAGUGGUUCGGGGUGUAUGAUAUACUUUUUUUUUUAAAA
rnacentral:lncRNA from 1 species